GACAGAGGGUGCAAACGUUGCUCGGAAUCACUGGGCGUAAAGGGCGUGUAGGCGGGAAGGAAAGUCAGAUGUGAAAUCCCUGGGCUCAACCCAGGAACUGCAUUUGAAACUCCCUUUCUUGAGUGUCGGAGAGGAAAGCGGAAUUCCUGGUGUAGAGGUGAAAUUCGUAGAUAUUAGGAAGAACACCAGUGGCGAAGGCGGCUCACUGGUCCGGUACUGACGCUGAGGUGCGAAAGCGUGGGGAGCAAACAGG
rnacentral:rRNA from 1 species